CGCACCUUGCGCUCCUUGGUAUUCCGAGGAGCAUGCCUGUUUGAGUGUCAUUAAAUUCUCAACCUCACCAGUUUUCUGAACUGACUGAGGCUUGGAUGUGGGGGUUUGUGCAGGCUGCCUCACGGCGGUCUGCUCCCCUGAAAUGCAUUAGCGAGGUUCAUGCUGGACCUCCGUCUAUUGGUGUGAUAAUUAUCUACGCCGUGGACGAGGAUACAGACUCGCUUCUAAUCGUCCGCGAGGACAAUACCUUGACAAUUUGACCUCAAAUCAGGUAGGACUACCCGCUGAACUUAA
rnacentral:misc_RNA from 1 species